AGUUGGUUCCCGGAGGCAGAAUCUGUUAAACUGACAAAGCCCACGUCUCCGGGUCCCUGUCUCGGGGAGUCGGGACUAUUGGGUCACCCCGGGUAGUCGAGACUCUAGACUGAGCUGUCUCGGUCACUCAGGAGGCAGUUGGCAGAGUAUUCGUGGUCAGGGAGGUGACCCGUGGUCAGCAGGGUCAGGCCACCCAGGGACAAAGGGUGCUCCUGCACCGGGCCUUGGAGAAGGACAGAGCGGUGGGGACUUGGGGUCAGCGGGGGAGCCUCCGCGGAUGGGGAGUCACCACCUGCCGGGUUCAAGCCAUUCUUCUGCCUCAGCCUCCCGAGUAGCUGGGACUACAGCCACCCACCACCACGCCUGGCUACUUCUUUGUAUUUUAGUAGAAACAGGGUUUUACCGUGUUGGUCAAGAUGGUCUCGAUCUCCUGACCUCGUAACCUGCCCGCCUUGGCCUCCCGAAGUGCUGGGAUUACAGCAAUCAGCCAUGACUGCCUUUGCACUGUCCAUGCUCUCAGCCCACCACCUCCUCCCCCUGCCAUUGCAGUGGCUAACACUGGAGACGAAGACCAAGACACCACAGCCUUUCUCCAGUACCUCUCAAAUCAGCACAGACAAGGACAAAGGCCUCAAUCCACAACUGCUG
rnacentral:lncRNA from 10 species